CUCCUGACCUCGUGAUCCACCCGCCACGGCCUCCCAAAAUGCUAGGAUUAUAGAUGUUAGCCACUGUGCCUGGCCAGAAUCUGUUAAUUUCAAGCUGCAAAAACCUUAUUAUUUUAGGGUUAGCAUUAAAAAUGAGGAAUGGGCAAUUUUCUUGUAUUCUUUGUAUGUAAUUAAGCAAUAGUAAAUAGACACUGAAACAAAGCGAAAUGUUAAUGGUGACUAUUCGGAGCACCUGCUCUAUUUUCUCUGGAUUCCCUGAUAUUUCUGAAAAUUUUUAAGAUAGUUUUGAUCAGUGAUUAGUACUACCUUGCCAGAAAUGUGCUCAGUUAAGAGAUAAGUGAAUGAGUUGGCUAAAAGCACAAUUACUAAGUAGUGAGGUCACAGCUGGAUCAUUACUGAUUCCAUUUUCUCUCUUCAGAUAUUUUCAAGGCUUCAUACUGUGUUGCAAUGUAACACUAAGAACAUACAAUUUGAAAACAACUUGUUUUUCAUUUGUUUCUAGAAGUUAUACUUCAAUAUUGGAGCAAGGUACAACAAUUUGAAGGACAUUAUUAGCCAAUUUAAUCUGAAUUUGGCUAGAAACACCUACAAAGUUCUAGGUCCCUGCAGAUAACAAGUGGUGACCCAGAACAGAGACUUCAAGGAUGUCAACAAGUGACGUCCGAACACAGGCACUUCAAGGACAUGAACGAAGAAAGUCUGCUGGAGCAGAGGAACUAAAAUUGACAAGAAAAACAGGGACUCUGGGACGAGUCUGCCGGUAGCAGAUAUAAGGAGAUGGACAAACUGUGUGGAUGCCCUCAAGGUGCAUGAGACCAUGGAACAGGAGACUGGAGGAACCCAGGGUGGGCAACCAUGGGCUCGGUCCCUUGGUACUAGUCAUGAACCAGCUGAGCCUGAGAGCAAAGACGGAGAGAAGGCCAACCAGAGACACCACGACAUCAACCCCAUAACCUGGGGGCAACUCAAGAAAACCAUGCAGGAAGCUGAGAAACUACUGGAGCAUCAAAACCAGACAAAAACCCCUAAUUACAUGUUCGUGGCCAUGUUAGCCAUAAGGUCCUGUGUGAUAUGUUUUCCCUGUGCAGAGGCAAAAACAUAUUGGGCGUAUGUUCCCAAUUCCCCAGCAGUAUGACCUAUACUUCAGAGUGACACUCCUCCUGAGAUUUAUUAUGAUCAAGGAGCUUGGGCUUCAGGACCCCUAACUCCCCCUGACAUAGAACAGUUAGACUGUCAGAAUAAUGUCAUUAAUUAUAUCGUUCCACUGGAAGGACUCCUCAUGUGUAUCACCACAAAGAUAUCACUCAGUC